ACAUAAGCGAUGCAAAUAAAAAAAGCCACAACGGAAGUGGAUUACCGGGGACUGUUUUUGCCGAUGCACCGGUGUUUUGUGAGAGGAGAAGAAGAAGACGAAGAAGAAGACGAAGAAAUAGAGAACGGAGAAACAAGAACAGGAAUACAAACUGGAAAACGAACAAGAAAGUCAUGUUUUGUCCAUUCUGUGGGGUGAACCUUCCAUCCGUCCUGGUAUAUUGUGGCUCAUGCUGUAGAAAUGUCAGGUUCCUAAGGAGUCUUCAAGAUGAAGAUUUGAUGGGAGCAAUUGUGGUUUCCCAGCAUCUGCCCAAACCCUGAACCACAUUACCAGCAUCAUGCCAGUGCCAGCAACUCCUGGUGAGGAUGAGCAUGAAACUCUCUUUGGAGAACUACAACGACAGAGUGGUCUAACAGCUCCUUUGCAGUGGGAAUCAGCUGUAGAGAACUACAUCACCCUGAAAAACAUGGCUGGUCUGUAAAACUUUAAGGGACAUAUUUGUGUUGUGACAACACCGAAACAAACUUUUUUAUGUGUAGUAUUUGCUGCAUGUUAUUUCCCUCUCUCUCCUGUCAUUUCCUGUCUCAAAUAAAGUUGUCUAUGCCUGACAAAAAAUCUUUGAAAAAAAGAA